rnacentral:rRNA from 1 species
ACUNGGUAUACCCGUUGCUAAAUUCUCCUAUUAACAAUUGAAAACCCCAUGCGUUUCAUUCUGGAAUGGCUGCUCUCUUGGUGCCGCUGACNCCUCGACCCCGCGGCNUAUCAGUUAGUUGGUGUCGUCCCGGUUCACCCAAGGUUCACGAUGCAUAGCCCGACCUGAGAGGGUGAUCGGCCACAUUGGGACUGAGACACGGCUCAAACUCGUACGGGCGGCAGCAGUAGGGAAUCUUGGGCAAUGGAUGAAAGUCUGACCGAGCAACGCCGCGUGAGUGAAGAAGGUUUUCGGAUCGUAAAACUCUGUUGUUAGAGAAGAACAAGGGUGAGAGUAACUGUUCACCCCUUGACGGUAUCUAACCAGAAAGCCACGGCUAACUACGUGCCAGCAGCCGCGGUAAUACGUAGGUGGCAAGCGUUGUCCGGAUUUAUUGGGCGUAAAGCGAGCGCAGGCGGUUUCUUAAGUCUGAUGUGAAAGCCCCCGGCUCAACCGGGGAGGGUCAUUGGAAACUGGGAGACUUGAGUGCAGAAGAGGAGAGUGGAAUUCCAUGUGUAGCGCUGAAAUGCGUAGAUAUAUGGAGGAACACCAGUGGCGAAGGCGGCUCUCUGGUCUGUAACUGACGCUGAGGCUCGAAAGCGUGGGGAGCAAACAGGAUUAGAUACCCUGGUAGUCCACGCCGUAAACGAUGAGUGCUAAGUGUUGGAGGGUCNCCCGCCCUUCAGUGCUGCAGCUAACGCAUUAAGGCACUCCCGCCCCGGCCUCCCCCAU